UUUCGUUUGGUGUAGUUGGAUAGUGUUCUGUUUUGUGCACUAAGGGGUCCAAGGUUCGAAUCCUACUAGUGGAAA